CACUGAUAAGCUCUGCCCACCUUCCUGACAGUAAAGACAUUGCAAGAAGAAGAAGAUGGCUGCUGCAAUCAGCCGCACUGCCGCUUCAGGACUAACUCCAGACACCACAGGGAGCUUGAAUGAGCGACACUGACUAGACGCGGCUGAAAGAAGAUGUCAUGGCGGUCUAAUCUCCGAAUGAAGACGCUGAGGAAAGUUUACAUCACAGGGGAUGUCACUGAAUGUAUGAGAUUGCACAAAAUUUGGUUGCAGACAAAGGAUCACAGGCUACUCCCUCAACUCUACAGUGGUACAUACAUGAAGACGGGAUAUGGUACAAUAGGUCUAUCAGGACCAUGCCCAGAGGUAAAAAGGAUACAGGCGACCAUGCUACAUGGCAUCAAAGAAGCACAAACAAUGCAUUAAGAGUAUCACUUCCAGGAUACCUGGUAAAGAUCCGGUAAUUGCACCAGCAGUGUCGCAUGAGUUCCCAUAUGAAAAUGGAUAACAUUUUUCUUUUGCACUUGCUUUGGUAUUUCCCAGAUUAAGAAGUUAUGCAGCCUGACAGUAAACUAUACCGCAGCAAGUUCCAACAGAGCACCUGAGUGUUUCCUUUCAUGUUUCCAUUCCAACACCUGUCUUCUAGGAGGCCGGGGUGGUCUCUGCAGCUUUACCUCUCACACUUCUUUCAGCAGUUCAGCGGUGGAUUGUUCGCUACUGAGCGGCUUCAAAUGACCUUGAAGGGCAACGCCACAUUCUUGUUAUUAGUGAGCUAAGAUGAGCUGCACUUGAACUUAAGGAAUGUCAAUAUCAGUAAAAAGGGCUACACCACGAUUCCCAGUAGGAGUCUAUAAAGAUGGAAAUUUCUAAAGGAAGGUAGGACAGUGUUAACAACUGACAGCAGAAGAAUUCACCAGGAAAAGGUGACCAUAUACCUUCAAUAGUUGUCAACUGAACAGUCAUUUCUCCCGGCUCCCUUAUACCCUAUCCUAUCGUCUGGAUAGGACAUCAGUGUCUGAUCGGUGGGGGUAUGAUAGCCAGGACCACUGCCGAUCAGCUAUUUGAGAAGGCACCAACGUUUGCAGUAGUUUUUCUAGGUUUUCCUAGUCCGUGUCACAUCACGUUCAUCAGCCACAAGGCCUGGGCGAAGUUCAGCCCCAUAGAAGUGCUUUGUAAGCUGUGAGAAGAUCGUGGCGCUACUGCGACCGCCAGUGCCUUCUCGAAAAGCUUAUGUGUGGGGAUCACUGAGUGUCAGACAACCACCAAUCCGAUACUGAUGACCUACCCAGAGGUCCUUCUCACACAGAUAACAGGGCAAGUGGUGAACCACUGUUUGAAUCUGUCACUAGAGAAUUCAUGCUUCCACUGUUCUAAGAAACAUUCAUAAUUCUAUUACCAAAGUGAUGCUUGAACAUGACACAGAGCUUUAGGAUACGGCAAAAUGGUCAGGUUCCUUGAUGCAGUUUUGGAAGCCAAAACCAGGAGUGAAUUCAAAAAGGAGGAAAAGUCAUAUCUUUCCUUUCUCGUCCUUUAUGAGACACUCCUGAUUUUGGCUUUCAAAACUGCAUCAGGAAACCUGCCCAUGUGGCCAUACCCUAAGAAAACCUCACUCCAAGUUUAAUAGUGGUGAGUGGACACCAUGAUAUCAUUGUUCCCAGUCUGGUAAGCAGUGCUUCUGACAGACAGAUGCUUUAGAAAUGAGCUCGAAGGUAAUCUCACUCCCACUGUGGUAAUGGGGAGUAGGAACUAGCUGUGAGAAUGAGGAGGAAUCCUACGUAUGAACAAGCUUUUGUUGCCUCAAGGGCAUGGAGUUCUACCAAUCUCAAAUUAUGUGUGGGUCCAUGGUACCUCUGAUUAUGGCUCUUUUCAGGAGAGAACUGAAUUGAUUAUUUUAUCCCUUUCUUCAUAGUUGUGUGUCUCAUGUCUCUGUCAUGUCAGAAUACUGUACAUCUAGGGCCAUUCAAGGUGGCCCAGACAUUGGAAAAAGUACUAAAGCCUGUAUUAGGCCGAUUGAGCAAGUGAUUGUCGGGAGGAAAGCGUUCCCUCCCGGCAAUCGCCUGUUAACUAGCAGAGGAGACCGCUGCUAUUAUCUGCAGUGACCAUCUCCACGGCAUGAGGAGGAGCGAUCAUUGUGCCAUCACUCAUACCCAAGCUCGUUCAUCGGGCAAUCAGGGACACUGCAAGAUGAUCGCUACUGAGCGUUCAUAGGAAGAAUUGGCAGGUGUGAUACAGUCUUAAGUGUCACAUUGUCAGAUAAUUGUACCACUUCAAGUGACUGCAAUCAAACCUCUGUUCACUAGACUCCAUCCUGUGUUAGAUAAGGCAAGACCUCACGUCCAUCCACAAACAGGCGAGGUGAAAAGUGGCUGGCACACUAGGGGCACCGGAUCUGCUUUAAUGUAUAAUAAUGCACAAUGGUAUAGGUAAGACAUAAAAAACCAACCAUUUUGCAUAGGUCUACGGGCUGCUGGCAUUACUAAUUUAUGCCCUCCUUGCCCUUAGAGUAAAUAGGUUUUCCAGGACAGAAGCUGGACUUACACUGCCCAAAAAAACUAAAACAAAAAACAUUACAUCCGUGUGCAUUCCGUAUUUUGCAGAAAGUAAC